rnacentral:rRNA from 1 species
CCUACGGGUGGCAGCAGUGGGGAAUAUUGCACAAUGGGGGAAACCCUGAUGCAGCGAAGCCGCGUGAGCGAUGAAGUUUUUCGGUAUGUAAAGCUCUAUCAGCAGGGAAGCAAAUGACGGUACCUGACUAAGAAGCCCGGGCUACCUACGUGCAAGCAGCCGCGGUAAUACGGAGGUGGCAAGCGUUGUCCGGAUUUACUGGGUGUAAAGGGCGUGCAGCCGGAGAGACAAGUCAGAUGGGAAAUCCACGGGCUCAACCCGUGAACUGCAUUUGAAACUGUUUCCCUUGAGUGUCGGAGAGGUAAUCGGAAUGCCUGGUGUAGCGGUGAAAUGCGUAGAUAUAAGGAAGAACACCAGUUGCGAAGGCGGAUUACUGGACGAUAACUGACGGUGAGGCGCGAAAGCGUGGGGAGCAAACAGGAUUAGAUACCCGGGUAGUC